GUUGAAUGUCCAAUUGUCUAUUCAUGACUCCCUAUUUUAUGAUGACCUUGAACAUUUGAUAACAUGAGUUGCUGGUAUAGGGAAACAAUAACAGGAUAUGACUCAGUUCUUAUCUGAUUUCCACUAACAAGGUAUAUGACUGGACUAGUUUCAUCGUCUGAACUAGAUCUAUGAGCUCCCAUCCAUUCUGCACUUUUAGAGUAUGUAUAGAAAUCAGUUACUGGAGAAACCAAUGAGGUCUGUGGGAAUUGUCUUUGAACACUUUCUUUUCCUUGAAGGAGGCAGCUCAGAAUGUAGAGAAGCCUGCAACAACUCUGUCUUACGAAGCGUCACUCUAAUGCCUUUCACAUCUUGAUCGGGUGAAUGAUUCACACAAUGAGAAAGCAGUAUUCGUCAGUCCAUAUGGAUGCGACAAUGCAGGACUUUUGCUCCAUCUUUCUGGAAGGCAAGUCUUCUCCACUGAGAUAUUCUUUAACAUGAAGCAUUUGAAGACACGUUCUUAUUUGAGGUCAAAGCAAAUCUGAACACCAUCCAUAAAUGUGUGGUGCUGUGAACAGAGCAGCACAUUCCUGAAACGAUGGAUGUGUCUGCCAGGAUCAACCAUGGGCCCUGCCAGAUCCUUGUGGGAGAUGAAAUGCCAGAGAGCCGCCUGUCAAACAAAGAAAAGCUGAAAUGGCAUCAACACCUCCAAUGGCAGGGAAUUUAUAAAACAUUCCUUGGAAACUAGUUCCCCUUUGUGUGAUCAUGACAAUACCGAGUUACCAACCCACUUGCUCGG
rnacentral:lncRNA from 1 species